rnacentral:rRNA from 1 species
UACGUAGGGUGCAAGCGUUAAUCGGAAUUACUGGGCGUAAAGCGUGCGCAGGCAGUUUUGUAAGUCUGUCGUGAAAGCCCCGGGCUCAACCUGGGAAUUGCGAUGGAGACUGCAAGGCUUGAAUCUGGCAGAGGGGGGGUAGAAUUCCACGUGUAGCAGUGAAAUGCGUAGAGAUGUGGGAGGAACACCGAUGGCGAAGGCAGCCCCCUGGGUCAAGAUUGACGCUCAUGCACGAAAGCGUGGGGAGCAAACGG